rnacentral:rRNA from 1 species
AGUCUGGUGCCAGCAGCCGCGGUAAUUCCAGCUCUAAUAGCGUAUAUUAAUAUUGUUGCAGUUAAAAGCUCGUAGUUGAAAUUUGGAACUUUAUUAUAUUGGUUUGUCUUUUGAUGAACUGUAUGAUGGGUUUCUUCCUACUAGAGUUCGAUUCUGUUCUUAACUGAAUGGAGUAGCUAUCUCUCGGGGUGGUCAAUUGGUUGUUAUAUCUCCACUAAUAAGCAGAGAGGGGUUAAACCUUUGAAGUAAGUUAUGUGGAUCAAGGUAUGAUGAUUAAUUGGAGUUCUAGUUCAUUUACUUUGAGAAAAUUAGAGUGUUUAAAGCAGCCUCUUGGGGCACUGAAUACAUUAGCAUGGGAUAAUAAAAUAGGAUCUUCACAAUAUAUUUUAUUGGUUUAAAUUGCGUAUGAAGAUAAUGAUUAAUAGGGACAGUUGGGGG